GUUUUAAUAGUUUAGUAAAAAUGUUAAAUUGCAAAUUUAAUGAAACCCUGUGUUUAAGACU
rnacentral:tRNA from 1 species